UCUCAGAUCCGGCCGCCAUGGCCUCCCGCCGCCGCAACACCCUCGCCACCUGCGCCGACUCCUCCUCCCAAACCGGCCUCGGGGCCCAGUGGAAAGAUCACUGACGAAUUCACCGGCGCCGGCGCGAUCGGGAAGGUAUGCCAGGUGAUCGGCGCCGUCGUCGAUGUCCGAUUCGACGAGGGGCUGCCCCCGAUCAUAACAGCGCUGGAGGUGCUCGACAACCAGAUCCGGCUCGUCCUCGAGGUCGCGCAGCAUCUGGGGGAGAACAUGGUGCGGACGAUCGCCAUGGACGGAACCGAAGGUCUCGUCCGCGGGCAGAGAGUCCUGAAAACUGGUUCGCCCAUCACUGUGAGCCUCGAGACCUCUUCUCUCCUCUUUUCAAUCGGAAUGGCCUUUCUUUGCGAUCGACAUCAAAAACAAUUCUUGUACAAUGCCGAUAUAUUUUUUCUCGGAAUUAACUUGAAUCAUCAAAUUCGUUGCAAAGGUGGUUUCUCUGUCUUUGCCGGUGUUGGGGAACGUACUCGUGAGGACAAUGAUUUGUACAGAGAAAUGAUUGAGAGUGGUGUUAUUAAGCUUGGAGACAAGCAGGGUGAAAGCAAGUGUGCUCUUGCAUAUGGGCAAAUGAACGAGCCCUUGUGCACGCGUUGGUUUGACUGGGUUGACGGUUGCUGAGCACUUCCGAGAUGCUGAGGGGCAGGAUGUGCUUCUCUUUAUUGACAACAUUUUUCACUUCACACAAGCGAACUCUGAAGUGUCUGCCUUGCUUGGUCGUAUACCCUCUGCUGUUGGCUACCAACCAACCCUUGCUACUGAUCUUGGAGGGCUGCAAGAACAACAAAGAAAGGAUCUAUUACUUCAGUGCAAGCUAUUUAUGUGCCUGCUGAUGACUUGACAGAUCUGGGUCCUGCAACAACCUUUGCCCAUCUGGACGCUACGACUAUGCUUUCGUGACAGAUUUCUGAGCUCGGCAUCUAUCCUGCUGUCGACCCUCUUGACUCCACAUCCAGAAUGCUUUCUCCACACAUGUUGGGGGAAGAACACUAUAACACUGCUCGUGGUGUUCAGAAGGUCCUCCAAAACUAUAAGAACCUACAAGAUAUCAUUGCAAUUCUGGGAAUGGAUGAACUCAGUGAAGAUGAUAAGUUGACAGUUGCUUGUGCUCGAAAGAUCCAGCGGUUCCUGAGCCAGCCUUUCCAUGUUGCUGAGGUAUUCACAGGUGCACCUGGAAAAUACGUCGAACUGAAAGAAAGUGUUCACAGCUUUCAGGGUGUUUUGGAUGGGAAGUAUGAUGACCUGCCUGAGCAGUCAUUUUGCAUGGUUGGAGGAAUAGAGGAAGUCGUCACAAAGGCAGAGACGAUUUCUAAGGAGGCAGCAGCAUGAUAGGAACUCACUACUAUCCAUAUUUAGUACCCUUUGAGGAUGCAGCUGGUGCUUCCUGCAUUCAACAAAUUGCAAUUUUGAAGUGGUGACUUAAAUCUUUAUGCUUCGUUAGUCCUGGGUCAGAUUUGUGGCUCUUUAGAGAUGAGAACACAUCAUGGUCCUUCGAGGAUACAUUUAGCCCAAUACGAGAACGCAGAGGUCUGUUUGAUCAUGCACUAAGAUGGAACUUUCAAAUGUCUAUUCAAGUUAAUUAAGUAUUUGUGUGCAUUGGCUGUAAGGCAAAUGGAUUCGUUUUCAAAAGUGGCGGUGCAUGAGUUCACAUGGACAAUUAUUGGUGCUGAUCUAGUUUCUUGUGGUGCAUCUUCUGGCCUCCAAGAAAUAGAACGUCCAUAUCAGCAAUUUAAUGCUCAGGGGCAGCUGGAGACUAGAAAACAAUUGCUUGCUAAUUGUGCAGUUGAUCUUUCCAUUUCUUCUGAACUUAUUAAGUCUAAGGGACUAUGAACUGCACACGGGGAAACCUGCACUGGCCACCAAUCCAGCCAGCCCUACAUUUCUUCUUGUAGGGAGUGAUUGCUCUACUCAAAGCUGGCUUUGUGGUUGUGGAAAAGCUGCAGCAGCCUAUGCCUCUCAAAGCUGUAAUUGGCAUCUGGAAUUGCAAUUAUUGGAGCGGUGGAAUGGACUCAUUGUAAUAAUGCCUCUCAUUUAACGUUUAGAGAGAGUCCUUUUCUUGCGAUUUGCUGGAAUACUUGGAAAUGAGAGUCUUUACUCAUCAUCCUUGUCCAACCAAACUGGUGAGCAGCAAUCAUUAGAACCUGGAUAUUAUUAGCACCAGCGACGCCAUCUGUUCCCUUGCAUAAUUGAAGCCCCGAUUAGGUGCUUCGCAAAGUUGCGUACCGUGUAGUGGACGCCGUUAUUAUUAUUGUACAAGGUAUGCAUAUAUUUAUCUGUAUACACAGUAAGAAAAAGAAUAAUCGAAUGCAGAGUCUCUCACCAAUACGAG